CGCGAUUCUAUGAUUAGAGUUUGAUCAUGGCUCAGGACGAACGCUGGCGGCGUGCCUAAUACAUGCAAGUCGAGCGGACGAUUCAGAAGCUUGCUUUUGAAUCGUUAGCGGCGGACGGGUGAGUAACACGUGGGCAACCUGCCCUGUAGACGGGGAUAACACCGAGAAAUCGGUGCUAAUACCGGAUAAUACGAAAGGCCGCAUGGUCUUUCGUUGAAAGGCGGCGCAAGCUGUCGCUACAGGAUGGGCCCGCGGCGCAUUAGCUAGUUGGUGAGGUAACGGCCCACCAAGGCGACGAUGCGUAGCCGACCUGAGAGGGUGAUCGGCCACACUGGGACUGAGACACGGCCCAGACUCCUACGGGAGGCAGCAGUAGGGAAUCUUCCGCAAUGGACGAAAGUCUGACGGAGCAACGCCGCGUGAGCGAAGAAGGCCUUCGGGUCGUAAAGCUCUGUUGUUAGGGAAGAACAAGUACCGCAGUCACUGGCGGUACCUUGACGGUACCUAACGAGAAAGCCACGGCUAACUACGUGCCAGCAGCCGCGGUAAUACGUAGGUGGCAAGCGUUGUCCGGAAUUAUUGGGCGUAAAGCGCGCGCAGGCGGGUUCCUUAAGUCUGAUGUGAAAAGCCCACGGCUCCACCCGUGGNAGGGUCAUUGGAAACUGGGGGGACUUUGAGUGCAAAAUAAGNAAAGCGGAAUUUCCCCUUGUUACCGGGUGAAUUGCCG
rnacentral:rRNA from 1 species